rnacentral:lncRNA from 1 species
UUUAAAUGUUUUUCAUAACAUGUGAUGAAUGUUACUUGGAUUUGGGAUAAUCCAAGUGUUCUAUCAAUGGCAUAUUGAUAGGGGGAGUUUGGUUAAACUCCGGGGAGUUAAGGUUAACUCUGUUAGUCAUCAAUUAGUUGUCAUCAUCAAAAAGGGGGAGAUUGUUGAAUCUCGGAUUUUGAUGAUGAAACUAAUUGAUUGUGUUUAUAUGUUUAACUGCAUUUUGAGUG